AGAAUGCUUCAAGUCAUGUUGUCUUUACAGCAUACGCACAACAAAUUGCUACGUUACAGCAACAUGGCUGUAGGUGUUGCUUCCCUCUUCUUGCUGAGGAAUGCAAUCAAGCGAGGAACAAGCGCUCACAGCGACCUUUAAAAACAAGACACGUCUUGCCUCCUUUUGGUUCAAGUGGAAACACUGCACCAAUGAAGAAGAGUGCAAGAGGUGUGAACACAGCAGUGGAAACCAAUCAAACUGGUCGAUGGCUCUCACUAUGCAGCGGAGUCGUUAAGCUGAUACUCUCGCGAUCGGUCGAAGCAGGCGCGAACGCCGCUGUCGCCCCACAGCCGCCGGAUCACGGCGCUGAGCUCCGCCGACAUGACUCCCUCCUCCGCUGAGCUGGCGAGCGCAAACAGCUGUCGGGCAUCGUCCUGAGAACACACGCAUUCCUUUGUGUCAUAUACAGCUCACAACAUGCACGUUCAAAGGUUCUCGGCGUUGUUAGCUCACCGCCCGGGACUCAUCGCCAAAGUCUAUCUUUAAGCGCCCCAUUGCCCGGAUGAUGGCCAUGAUGGACUGGAUCGUGUUGCUGUACACCACAACUUUGUACUGACUGCAUUCCUCCUCUGAGUAGCCAUCUUCGUGAAUGAUCCUAGCAAUAAAAAAAAAAAAAAAAAAGCUUUCAGGCUGUAUAAAUAUUUUAAACGGUGAAGAAUGGCUCCUGCUCAAGUGGGACAUGUUAGUGAUCAGCAAUGUUUGAUGAAAGCUGUCAUUAGAGCUGGAAUUUGCGCUCUUGUGCGCAUGCAGCAUGUCUAAUGUGGGAACCGGGGGACUCUAUUCAUGUCUUGCCAAGCUAUGACUGGCCUUGGUGGCCUUUGUUUCACAUGUUCUGCAAAAUGUGGGGCUUUUUGCUUUGCCCGGGUGCAUCAAAAUGAGUCUGCGUUCUCGUUUCCACAUAGAUGAACCCUGUUUGUUGCCACAGACAACAAGGCUCAAAACAAAAAAACAACUUGUGUGUGUGUGUGUCUCAUGCUUACUUCAUCUGCUUGACUAGUGUGCUUUUCCCUGAUUCACCAGCACCUGAGAAUGAGAUAAGCAGCAAUCAUAUUAGAUCAUAGCCAUGGAACUUAUUCUGGUCACGCCCAAGUUACAUCUUAUGCAAUAUGCAUAUUUGCAUUACUGUAAAGAUCAUUGUGACUUCUUUAAAUAAAAACAACAACUCCAUUU